GCAGAAGUAGCUCAGCUGGUAGAGCGCAACCCUCCCAAGGUUGAGGUCGCGGGUUCGAGUCCCGUGAUCCGCUCAA
rnacentral:tRNA from 1 species